GCAGAACAGGUGGAGAGGUAUGAAGAACGAGGAACACUGCCCGGGGAGUUCCUUCCUCUGCAAAAUAAGGGAGUGUGUACUGAAUGACCGUUUCCAGCUCCAACAUCCAGGAUUUCAGCACUACCUGCAGAGUAGUGGGAGGAGAGAUAGAGGAAGAAGUGAAGAUAAGAAAUCCCUUGAAGCCAGUGUCUGGUGCUGGGACCGUGAUGGCUGGGACGGCAGCAGUAGUGCUGUCCAUCUGCUCGUCCGAGGGGUGGCACAUCCUAGCCUCUAUCUUUUCCCCAGAGAAGAUCCCCCUCGUCUGCUCUUCCCCCCGUCUCAGCCUUUUAGUGUGUGAACAGUUCUGGUGUGACUCAGCAGCGCUUUUGUUAGCGCUUUUACCAGCAAGUACUUGUUAAACACUUAAAUCUUACAAGUGGAAAGAAAAUUCCGUGGUAAAUUUAAGUACAAAAGUCAACCAAAAUUCUGAGUCUCGGACAAGACUGGUUAAAAAUCGUUCUACAAUGAAACUAAUAUAUUAAAUUAAAUCAUAUAAAACUUUU
rnacentral:lncRNA from 1 species